UUACGUAGCUGCGUAGGACAAACAGCGAAUGCACGCGCGCAUAAUUUAUUUAUGAUUUGAGUGCGAGUUUCCCCCUCGACACGCUGUGACACUGCUGUCACUACGCACACUCUCCGAUCAAUCACGCCAGCGCGCGCUUGCCGAUCAGCAGCAAUGUUAAUCGAAAAUGAUUAACUACCGGUACCGGUGGAGCUGUUUGUGUGACUAUAAGCGAUCCGAUCGAGGCUUUAAUGUCACGCUAACAUGAAAGUUUUCCACCAGAUUUCGAACGAGACAUUGCCACUCUCUACCCGUAUCCGGCAUGGAUACGGUGUCCUGUUGGAACAUCGCUUCUUGCAAGAUCAAGGCGAACAGAUAGGCCCAGACUCUAAGGACGAUCGAUAUUCACCCAUCAAAGUGCCGAGCUAAUCGGACGGCACGAAUCUUGCCUGAAGGAUGCGCGGGGAACGCUAGAGAUCUACGAUCGGUUCCAUCGGUUUACUGAGCGCCACGCUGAACGAGCCGCGCGGGAUUGGAACAUAACAUUUUAUUAGCCCGCAAUCGCGCAUGUCCCCCGGAGCGUUCGUCUGGGGUCUAGCUGUACGAGAUCCUUUGCUGCGCUUUCCUGAGCAUCAAGGCAGAAGGCAGAUCAUCGUUCCGAUGUUGAAAUUGACUCCGGGAAGGGAAAAUGUAGCGGCCGCUUGGUGCCGUCAUCACCGCUGCAAGCAGCAUCCUCGGCACUGAUCUGGUAGAAAUAAGGACCAUUGGGUAGCGCUAACGAAGUAAACAACUUGCAACUCGGAGGCUCAAAUUAAACCUCACACGCGAAGAGGUAUUAAAAGUCGCCAUGGCAUUGCCGUGGUUUGCUCGCGGGGAUACCGCGAUACGCUAGAUCGGAUCUAUUUAAUUGAAAGUAUCUUUCCGAUGCGCCCCGCCCGUUAAUGUGUUGAAGAAAAGGCGUCACAAAUAAGGGAGGCAGCAUUUUUGUGUUUGAGGAACGAUUGCUAUAGGGAUUCAAAAUUGUAGUUUAAACGUAAGUAAGUAGUUGAAUUGUCGUAUCUAAUCUGCUGUUUGUUCUUAGUAAAGGAAUUUAAUACUUAUUACAGCCAUUUUUCACCAUUUUUGACUGAGAUGAAAACAACUUUUUCAUCUUGGGGGACAAAUAAUAAAAUUAUUUUGAGAAUUGAAAAUAAAAAAAGAAAAGAUAUAGCACGUCAAUGUGAUAUGGCCUGGUGAAAAAUCAUUCUCCAAACAAAUUAACAAUAAUUUAAAAAUGAAACUUUAAUAAAAUAAAAAAACACAAAAACACAACUAAAUGAAUUAUUUA